rnacentral:rRNA from 1 species
UACGUAGGGUGCGAGCGUUAAUCGGAAUUACUGGGCGUAAAGCGUGCGCAGGCGGAUUUGUAAGCCAGAUGUGAAAUCCCCGGGCUCAACCUGGGAAUGGCAUUUGGGACUGCGAGGCUUGAGUGCGGCAGAGGAGACUGGAAUUCCUGGUGUAGCAGUGAAAUGCGUAGAUAUCAGGAGGAAUACCGAUGGCGAAGGCGGCGCUCUGGGCUGGAACUGACGCUGAGGAGCGAAAGCGUGGGUAGCAAACAGG